rnacentral:rRNA from 1 species
UACGGGGGGGGCAAGCGUUGUUCGGAAUUACUGGGCGUAAAGGGCUCGUAGGCGCCAACUAAGUCGAACGUGAAAUCCCUCAGCUUAACUGGGGAACUGCGUCCGAUACUGAUUGGCUUGAAUCCGGAAGAGGGAUGCGGAAUUCCACGUGUAGCAGUGAAAUGCGUAGAGAUGUGGAGGAACACCGAUGGCGAAGGCAGCCCCCUGGGCUAACACUGACGCUCAUGCACGAAAGCGUGGGGAGCAAACAGG